rnacentral:rRNA from 1 species
GAUGAACGCUAGCGGCAGGCUUAACACAUGCAAGUCGAGGGGUAUAGUUCUUCGGAACUAGAGACCGGCGCACGGGUGCGUAACGCGUAUGCAAUCUACCUUUUGCAGAGGGACAGCCCAGAGAAAUUUGGAUUAAUACCUCAUGGUAUGUGAGAAUGGCAUCAUUUUCACAUUAAGGUCACAACGGCAAAAGAUGAGCAUGCGUCCCAUUAGCUUGUUGGUAAGGUAACGGCUUACCAAGGCAACGAUGGGUAGGGGUCCUGAGAGGGAGAUCCCCCACACUGGUACUGAGACACGGACCAGACUCCUACGGGAGGCAGCAGUGAGGAAUAUUGGACAAUGGGCGCAAGCCUGAUCCAGCCAUGCCGCGUGCAGGAUGACGGUCCUAUGGAUUGUAAACUGCUUUUGUACAGGAAGAAACACUGGUUCGUGAACCAGCUUGACGGUACUGUAAGAAUAAGGAUCGGCUAACUCCGUGCCAGCCGCCGCCGUAAAAC